rnacentral:tRNA from 1 species
GCAUCCAUGGCUGAAUGGUUAAAGCGCCCAACUCAUAAUUGGUAAAUUUGCGGGUUCAAUUCAUGCUGGAUGCA